GCGGUGAAAUGCGUAGAUAUCAGGAGGAACACCGGUGGCGAAGGCGGUUCUCUGGGCAUUACCUGACGCUGAGGAGCGAAAGUGUGGGGAGCGAACAGGAUUAGAUACCCUGGUAGUCCACACCGUAAACGUUGGGCGCUAGGUGUGGGACUCAUUCCACGAGUUCCGUGCCGCAGCUAACGCAUUAAGCGCCCCGCCUGGGGAGUACGGCCGCAAGGCUAAAACUCAAAUGAAUUGACGG
rnacentral:rRNA from 1 species